AACGAACGCUGGCGGCAUGCCUAACACAUGCAAGUCGAACGAGACCUUCGGGUCUAGUGGCGCACGGGUGUGUAACGCGUGGGAACCUGCCCUUAGGUUCGGAAUAACUCCCCGAAAGGGGUGCUAAUACCGGAUAAUGUCUUCGGACCAAAGAUUUAUCGCCUUUGGAUGGGCCCGCGUUGCAUUAGCUAGUUGGUAGGGUAAAAGCCUACCAAGGCGACGAUCCAUAGCUGGUCUGAGAGGAUGAUCAGCCACACUGGGACUGAGACACGGCCCAGACUCCUACGGGAGGCAGCAGUGGGGAAUAUAGGACAAUGGGCGGAGGCCUGAUCCAGCAAUGCCGCGUGAGUGAUGAAGGCCUUAGGGUUGUAAAGCUCUUUUACCCGGGAUGAUAAUGACAGUACCGGGAGAAUAAGCUCCGGCUAACUCCGUG
rnacentral:rRNA from 1 species